UUUUCAAAAUGUAUUUUUG
rnacentral:sRNA from 1 species